CCCUUAGACGUCCUGGGCCGCACGCGUGCUACACUGAUGCAUACAGCGAGUACUCCCAGCUCCGAGAGGCUGCUGGUAAUCAGCAAUAUGCAUCGUGAUGGGGAUAGAUCUUUGGAAUUAUAGAUCUUGAACGAGGAAUUCCUAGUAAUCGCAGGUCAUCACCCUGCGUUGACUAAGUCCCUGCCCUUUGUACACACCGCCCGUCGCUCCUACCGAUUUCGAGUGAUCCGGUGAAUCAUUCGGACCGCGGCCCCUAGGCAUGCGGAAAGUCUAGUAAACCAUAUCACUUAGAGGAAGGAGAAGUCGUAACA
rnacentral:rRNA from 1 species